rnacentral:lncRNA from 1 species
UCCUAAGUUACCCCUCUUUAUGACAGAACAAUACAGAAAAAUAUGCAAAGCACACCAGAUUUACUACAGCUUAAGACUAGCCUUACGAAUCCCUUUUCCUAUUAAUCAAAACUUUAUAGAAAGAGAUAAACUGAUUUUUACCAUUCAUUCAACGGGCACAGAGAGAGAGAAUGGUUUGCACAGAGAGAACGAGAGAGGCCAGAAGUCUGACUGGUUCAAGUUCUGGACUGCCGUCAAGUUAGUCAAGUUUUAAAAAUAUGGAUGACGAUAUGACCACAGUAUUUGGGCUCUGCAGGUGAUGCUAAAGUACAGCCGGCUGAGAACUGCUGCCCUGGGCCAGGGCCGUCCAAUAGAAACACAGCAUGAGCCGAAGAUGUGCUUUUCAUUGUCUAGUGGCCACAUUAAAAAGAUGCAGAUGAAACUCAUUGCAAUAACAUUGUAUUUCACGUGAUGAUUUCAAC